AGAACAUAAAUGAAUUGAAAAAAUACUUUAAUACAUAGAGAAGAUAUUCUUAUUUUUGUCAUUUAUGUCAUCACUUAGAAUUACAACAAUUAAAACUGAGAAAGUAUAGAUGAAGAAUCAUGAUAUUUAUACAA
rnacentral:lncRNA from 1 species